UGCAAGUCAUACAACUUAGCUACAGU
rnacentral:misc_RNA from 1 species